CCAACAGAGUACAGAAAAAUUACAAGAAAUUGCUUGCUUGCUGUAGAAUUGUUGAUUGCACUCAUUUACGAAUUCAAUCAUCAUCUUAAUAUCAUACAGGUCUACUGAGAAAUCACUGGAUGGUUGUUAAUAGUGCUUACUCAAAUAUACCAUAUUUAUUAACACCAUUUCUCUGGCUGACCAGAGAUAUGAUGAAGUACACAUUAAGAAUAGGAAUACUAUAGACAGAACAUUUGGAGUAUGGAAAUGUUGCUUUAACAUUGUAUUUAUCACUAGCUAAAGUUCAAGCUAUUAUUAUUGCCACAGCUGUUAUGCAAAAUAUUUGUAAGGAUUAUAAUUUGUAGAUAUACCGGCAGAAGUUUUAGUUCCAACACUUGAUACAA